rnacentral:rRNA from 1 species
AUUGAACGCUGGCGGCAGGCCUAACACAUGCAAGUCGAGCGGAUGAAGGGAGCUUGCUCCUGGAUUCAGCGGCGGACGGGUGAGUAAUGCCUAGGAAUCUGCCUGGUAGUGGGGGAUAACGUCCGGAAACGGGCGCUAAUACCGCAUACGUCCUGAGGGAGAAAGUGGGGGAUCUUCGGACCUCACGCUAUCAGAUGAGCCUAGGUCGGAUUAGCUAGUUGGUGGGGUAAAGGCCUACCAAGGCGACGAUCCGUAACUGGUCUGAGAGGAUGAUCAGUCACACUGGAACUGAGACACGGUCCAGACUCCUACGAGAGGCAGCAGUGGGGAAUAUUGGACAAUGGGCGAAAGCCUGAUCCAGCCAUGCCGCGUGUGUGAAGAAGGUCUUCGGAUUGUAAAGAACUUUAAGUUGGGAGGAAGGGCAGUAAGUUAAUACCUUGCUGUUUUGACGUUACCAACAGAAUAAGCACCGGCUAACUUCGUG